rnacentral:tRNA from 1 species
AUUUGAAUAGCUUAAAAUUUAAAGCUUUACAUUGAAGCUGUAAGUAUGGUUUAAUACCUUCAGAUA